AAUAACUUUUAAAUAGUAGAAAAAGAGAAUGUCUUUUUGUUUGUUGUUAUUGACGAAUGCUUUUAAUUGCUUGAAAUAUUUUUUAAGGCGUAAUUUCUUGAAAUGUGUGCUAGCCCCUUAAGUGCUUGAGUAAAAAAUUGAAAAAGAAUUAUAAAUCACUGACUAAAUUUAACUGUGUCGAUUGUAAAUCGAUGAUAAUAAUAAUAAUAAUUAAUAAUAAUGAUUAAUAAUAGUCACUUUAUUAACUAAUUUGUCCAAAAAAUGUUGCAAGUGUGCUGAUAAGCGACACUUUUUGGCCAAUGCUUUAGUCGUAUUUUUUUACCUAAGGCAAAUUGUUUUACUGUAUGUUUUAUUCAAUAGCGCUGCUAAUCAAUUUUGUCAUUUGUGUAAAUAUUAUGUUUUUAUAAUAUAUACAUAUAUUUAUUAACGAUUCACUUUAUAUGCAUUACGCAGUUAUCAAUAAAACGAUAACUUCGAAGUUUUGUUUUAAACUUAAAGUCGUUCAUGUUUCGAAAUUGUUAGUAGUUGGUUAUUUUCAUUUGCGUCCAAGCAGUUUAAGGAAUAUAAUAGUUUUAUUGUUGCUACUGUUGUUAAAUUAAAUGUUUAUUUUGCUUGCUGUUAAUCAGAAGUAGUCAGAGUAAUAAAUUUAAAUAAUAGUGACUGUGCAAGAGAAACGAAAACUGAUACCGGAGACGAAAAGAUUUAAAUAUCAACUGAAGUACAUCAUUACUGAACUGCAUUUGUAUACAAAGACACAGAGGCAGUGAAAUCAAGGUAUGAGUGAUCAUAAAAGAAGAACUUGGAAGAGGACUCAAUAGUAGACAAAGGUUUUUUUUAUAUUUUUAGAUAUGAUGUGCCUUUUUCUCCAUGAAAAACAUAAUGGUCACAAGAUGAUGCUAAUAGUCAAGAAAAGGAUUUUUGUCAACAACUUGGCUACUUCUUAGUUGCAGUAGGAACUGAUGUAAUUUAAAAAAGGCUACUUUAUUCAGAAACAGCUUCUAAUUUCUUUGGAGCAAGAAAGACAAAGAAGGCCUACACAAUAGAUAGAAUGAAAAGCACUGAAAGAAUUCUUCCUGUGUUAGGCUUGCUGUCCAAACUGAUAAAACGUUGGAACGUUGCAUUCUGCAGUUAACUAAGAUCAAGAUGAAUGAGAAACACUAAAACAACAUGUUACCCUUCUUCCUGUAUUUGCCUUACUCUUUACACUUGUAAAACUUUGGAACGUUGCAUGCUGCAGUUAAUUAAGGGUACAGUUGGUUAUCUGGAAUAGGAGCAAUAGGCGACUGCCCAGCUUGUCUUGGGGAAAUCUGUCCGUUCUUCUCUACCUAAGCUAUUACUAUUUACCGUUAGUCCUGUUAAUUUUGCACUAUUUGCUUUCAGAUAAUGAGGUAUUACCUAAGAAGAAUGUAGACAUCUCAUACAUCUUCUACAAUUAUUGUAUUUUCUUUUUUAUUUGUUUCUUAACUGUUGAAUUACCUAAUAUAACUUUAGCUUAGGCUGAUAGGUAAAACUUUUCUAAAUUGGUUUUUUAGCAAAAUUGUUGAAAGCAAAUUACAUAUUUAUUAACACAUUCAUAAUUAAGAUUCAUUUGGGGGGGAUAAGGUGGCUACAAGGAGAGAUGUGGAGGAAACAGAAAGUUAGGGAGGCAUUCUUGCCUCAAAUAUAAUAUUUAAAUAUUAAUUCAGUC
rnacentral:lncRNA from 1 species